CUGUGUAGACGCCCUUAAACUUUACACCAGAUAUUUCAACCUCUGGAUGCCAUGUUAUGUGCAUGCCAUGUUUUUAUUGAUUUAGUUUUAAUUCAAUGCUCUAAUCACUCAUAGUAACCAGUAAUGGUUAAGAUGGAGUCCUGUACUCUUCAAUAUUGGCCAAGUGUCCCUAGCUGGAAACAGAAUAAGGUGGAGGUCACCCCACAAACACAUGAGGGCUUCUGGGAAGGUUUUUCCUAGCUCCAGGUGUCUUUAAUUUCACAAUGUUUAAUGAGUAGCAGAUGAUUUCUACACCAACUGAUUAAAUAGUUCUACUUAGGUUUUCAAUAAUAACAUUGUUUUGUAAUGUGGAAAAUGCAGUUACUUUGAUAUCUGCUGAAUGUGACCAUCUUUGUGUUUUAGAAGACAUUAUUUUAGGGAAGGGCAGGGUUGUCUAUAUAUUUGGUCCCAUCUGUUAGUGUACUACUCCUUUUAGCCUGAUGAGGGCAACGUGACCUUCUAUUGUCUGCUUCUCCAGCUGGGAGCAUCAGUUACCACAGACUCCAUGACUGUCCAUGACAUCUCUGUCUACUCUACAGGGACACAUCUCCAUAGUCCUCUCACUCCAGCCUUAGACACGCGCUCGCUUGCACGUGUACAUAGUCACUUAGUGGGUUGUCUUAUCCAGAGAAAGUUAUAAGAGCAAUUAGGAUUAAGGCCUUACGGGAACAAAAAUCCUAAUUGCUCAUAACCAACAAGCUUUCGGUCAUUGGCCCAACAUUCUAACCAAUCUGCCGCCCCUUGCCCACCAACCCCCAUACACUCAUAUUCAUUCACACUGUGACAGAUUCUGUCAACAAUGACAUCGUGGUUGUCAUGUACUGAGUACCACGCAAUCCCUCUCCAGGACUCAUACACACAAACAUGCAUUUCCUAGAACGUUUAGACAGAAACACCGUUAUUUUCAUCAUCAGGCUGUAAUUCUGAAGUCUGCUGUUGUUUAAUGAGUUGCAGAUGAUCUCUACACCACCCUGUGUCCUCAUCUCCCCUCUCACACACACAAACACAAACAAGCACCAAAAACACACACUUGUAAACAAAGGCUUUGUGCUGGGUUUUGGUCUAGACAGCUCAUUUCCUAUCGGGAAAGGAGCUAUUUAGGCCCAGAGCCAAACUCACCUCAGCCCUGAAUGGAGAACAAGUUGCACUCAAUGGAAAGACACAUCCGCUAUGUGUUCAUCAAUGAUACAUUCAGGCAUAAGGUCAUCAGCCAGGCUGAGACUUACUAUAUUUAGUUCAGCUGACCGUUACGGAUGAAAACAGUUGAAAAGUAGAAUAACAGGAUUUAUUCUGCCAUUGAAAACCGUAGCCCUAUAAACUUGACGGCAGGCAGAAUUUCAGAAUCCAAAUGUAAUUUGGUUCAACUGUCCAAGUCACACCAGAGUGGUUGUUUACGGUGGUUCCCUGGCCCCUGUGACUGUUACUCCACAACCAUUAUCCUGUCAACAUUCUUUCUGUAGGAGCCGUGUCUGUUGGCGUGAUGCAUCGGUCUUUGUCUUUCAGGAUGGGGGCCUGGUUAUGCCUCCCUGUCCUUCUGUUAAUGCCUAAAAGCUUGUAUCUCUUGGUUUUAAAAGGGGUGAAAGAUUUGUAUUUUAUUUUUUGUUUCUUCGGGUCACACGCCUAUCUUUAGAAAGUUACUCUUACACAGUUACUAUAAUUUGUAUUGCCCUUUUUCGUAACUAUGGCUAUUUGGCAAUUAACAGACAUGCCACGACUGUCACCGCCCUUGGUUUUGUUCACUAUCUACAGAAACUGGGAUUUUUCCUGAACAAUUUGAAGUGUAUCUGCUGCUCUGACAUCAUCCUCGGUUACAUAACUAAGGCUGAUUUGUUAUUUGGAUUCUUCCUCUAUUAUUUAAACUCUAUUCCUAGCUCACUGAUGCCCGAACGUCUCCCUGGUGUGUCAGAGAGAGAUGGAGGAAGCGGAGCUGACAGGCUUUGAAGUUUUUUGGGGUUGGAUUUUGGGGACCGGCUCUGCAUCACUCGCUCACACACUUUAUCAAGGCUAUUUGCAUAAUUUAAUAUUCGUGGGUGUGUGUGACUGCCUGUGAGAUCUCUCUGUAAUGAAGAGCCUGGGGUGUCUGUGAGAGAGGUGUGGGUUUAAAGGCACAGCUGCCUGUGUUCAGCAGCAGAGAUUACGUUCUGUGAAGUUCCGUCGCUGAGUAUGAACAACUUCAAUUAAGCGCUUAUUGGGUUAUUCAAUCACUUUCAUACAGGGCCUAUAUUUGAAAAAGGUUAAUUACAGGGACAUUUUCUACAUAGCAUUACUCUUACAAAAAAGCGUUGAAAAAUAUCUUCACUGACAUGAUUAUAGUCUUGUUAAGCAGUUCUAUAAAAUGAAGUGUUUACAAUGUUAAGUGCUUUAAGAAGACGCUCCUUUUCAUUUUUAUAUCGUAGUUGUUUAGCCGAAGCUGUUAUCCAUAGCAAUGUGCAUUCAAAAAUGGCCAUUUGCUGCCGCGACAUGGUUUUGAAUACAGUCUACUGUUCUUUUAGCAACAAUGCAAUCUCUCUCUACAGUCUCUAUCAAUGAGCCUAAUGACCUCAAAAUAUAUAUCGUUUAAAGAAAGCAGUCAGUUCAUCAAUGAUGUCAAUAACUCCCGGGGGAUAAAAUGGUCACUGUCUGUUAAUAUCAGCCAGAGGUUUGAAUGCAGGUUGCGUCAAAAUGGCUGUGAACUGUCCAGGUUUGACCUGGGGGUUGCCCACUGAAAAGCAAUGCUCUGAUACGUCCUCCCAUCUCCCCUCCUUUUCCUCCCCAGACUCAGUGCUGUCCCUGUCUCAGCUUGUGCUGGAGACCUGCUCGCCAACCGGAGAGCUGGUCAUGCAGUGACAAACAUCCUGGCCAAAGAGUUGAUGCAGGAGGACCCCCAGCCCUCCAGCAAAUUUGCCAAUAAGAAGGCCAGGAUGGAGCCAAAGGAGGAGCCCCGUCCAGAUGAGGCCGGGUCACUAGAAGAUCUUCUGGAGGACAGCCUAUCACCGUCCAGUUAAACCAGAGGGUCAGAGGUCGCCCAUUGACCACUGAUUUAGGAUCAUAUUCUAUCAUAUCCUGCUCAUAAUCCUAACCUUAACCAUGUGGACUGGGACGCUCAUCUAGACACCACUGUAUUCCACCAUCAGUUGAAGGAACAUCUGUAUUCUCCCCAUUUCCUUUGUGGGACCACAGCAUUGAACAGACUCAGCCUGAGGACCAGUGGGUAAGGAGAGGCUCUCACCCUGACCGGUCUCCCAGGGCAUACGACGCCGGCUCGCUCUUGGAUGCUUCCCCACUGACGGGAGGACUCUUGCGCUUCCAUAUUAGUUUUCAAGAAUCUGCAUGAACAUGUUCACUGCUCCCUCUCUGUCAGUGUCACACACUCUGCCACUCUGUCAGUCAAUCAACUCCUCCUGUCCGUCUGAUUUCUUCUUGCUCUUACUCUGAAUAGCAUCGUGAGACAAUCCCCAUACUAUUUCUCAGGAGUGUUCCAGCAUUUUUCAGGAGGGAUAGGAAUUCUGUCUGGAUGUUGUGGAUAUCCUAACGACAGUAUGUUGAAGUGCUGGAUGUUUUUCUUUUUUUUAACCCAUUGAAAAAAAAAAAAAAUCUUGUUUGCUUUUGCUCAGAUUUUGUUUGAUUUAAAUCCCGUUAAACGUUGCUCUGUAAUUGUCAGAUAUACUGUAUGUCAGUGUUUGUUUACGAUUUACUGUGUGUGUAUAAAAGAAACAAGUGCCAAACAAUACAAUUCCAAGCUGCACUUUUCUGCCCUUGUGUUGUCCAGUAGGGCUUUGUUCUGCAUUGGGGUGGUCCAGUCCUGGUACCGUAUAUGAUCAUCUCUUUGUCCCGGCUCACGCUCCGGGGUAUAUGUAGAGCACUGUUAGGCUUUUGAAAUGAGAUGUCUAUACAAAUGUGUGUGUGUGUGUGUGUGUGUGUGCGCGCACGUUUGUGUGUGUCAGAUAUGCCCUCUCCAAUCACUGUCCGGUACUCCCUCUGCCUGCCUUCCUGCCGUCAUCAUAACUGUUAUAUUUCAUUAAAAGAGUUGAGGUCUUUCUGCUGAGGUGACUACUCGCUGGAGUCUGCGUGUGUGCCUGCGCAAGUGCGUUUAUGAGCUUGGCCUCUUUAGGCCGCAACACCCAUUGCAGAACGUUUGGCUUAGCUGUUUUCGGAUUCCGGAGCCAUAAGCAUGUUGCUGCCACAGCGUAAUACUGGAAAGAGGGUUGAGUGGCCCGGUCCCCUGUCGCAUCGCAGCAGUAACAAUCCAUACCACAGAUCCCAAGUCAUUCUUAAGCGAGGUUAGAAUGUCACCAUGAAUAACUGCUUUCCCGUAAGCACUGAAUCAUUAAUCCUGGUGUCACAAGUAGAGCCACUGUAUAUUACCAAGAUAACACGGAUUAGUCAAUAGCUGACUGAGAUCACUUUGGGAUAAUGAGUGUUGCUUCCCAACGGAUGUCACCAGGUGUGCAAAGCAAUCAUUCAGGGGCGAAGAAGAAUGUUGGAUUUUGUUUAACUUUUUGCAAUGUUGACGGUUGUUUGCCGGAAAAACCUUUGGUCAACGGUUGGAUAACAUCCAUGUUAUGACUGGGUUGUUUUCGUAUGAUCCAGUUGCUAUUAUUUAAGUGGUCUUUUAAUGGAUGUUUUUGACUCAAUGCAGAAAGGUUGAAAAGAAACACCACUGGAAAAAUAAUUUUCUGGCCAUAUUUUUAUUUUGUUUUCUAUGUCAAUUUGUAUUCUUGAUUGUUUUAAUGUUGAAAGGAGCAGUUUAAUUUAGUUUUGAAACAUCAUCAUGGUCAUUUGUAUAUCGAAUUAUGUAGUUUUUGAUCACUACCAUUAAAAUAUCUUCAAUAA
ensembl:lncRNA